UCUUCAAAAUAUCUUAUUUUGUGUUCUGCGGAAAAAAGAAAGCCAUACAUGUUUGAAGAAUGAAGAAAGGGGUCAUUUCUGGGUGAACUGUCCCUUUAAGCCACUAUAAAGCGAGACUUUGAAUGACAUUUCUCCUGAAUUUUGGUUCUAGGCUGACAACAGCGAAGGCCUUGAACGUUUGCAUGUCACCUGCCCGACAACAAAGCUCGCAGGGAGAGCAAGGACAGCCGGACACCAUACCAGACGGUGAAGAAGAGGACAUUUGCCAAAUCGGAACUGCGCUCGGGGAGUGAGAGACAGACCUGUUGGGAAGCAUCCUGUGGAAAUGUAACAGGUUGGAGAACUAGGCGGCCCAUCUAUGGCCAGAGGAGUGCAAAACUAUUCACAGACAGUUGUGAUGUGUCUUCCCCUGUGGAUUCUUCCUCGCAUGAAUGCUGGUCCGAGGAUGAUGAUGAGUCUAACACAAGCUCGCAGGAAGAGAUGCGCCUCUCUGCGCUCUCGGAUCGCACCGACAGAGAUGAACCGGAGCAGUCCUGUGCCUCUCUGUCCCCGUUCGCCCGUUCAUCUGCGUCCUCAUCAAGACAGGUAACCCAGCAGCGACAGCUCUUAGGAUGAAGUUUCCUCGCCUGGUUCUCAGCGCGCCCAGAAAACCUUCAACAUAUACAGAACGCAUAUCUGAGGAGCUGCAGAUCCUGUUAGGUCCCGGAAGACGGGGAGGAAAGGAGGAGACGAGGGGGCCUGCGCUGCAACACCAGACAUUCCCUGUCACACCAGCGCUUUGAGUUAGGGAGGUCUGGUCUGGAAGCCCGAUGACGGAAGUCAGGCCAGAAGAAAUCCACAGUGCUUGCUCGCCCCUCCUGGGACUAAUAAAUUAGACAGCUGCAUUUUCCUCCGUGGCCUUAAACCCCGCAGGUGCGUGUUUGUAUACAUGUGAGCGUUUAGCCCGUAAUGUGUGUGACCUAUGCCGU